rnacentral:rRNA from 1 species
CCUACGGGCGGCAGCAGUGAGGAAUAUUGGUCAAUGGACGAGAGUCUGAACCAGCCAAGUAGCGUGAAGGAUGACUGCCCUAUGGGUUGUAAACUUCUUUUAUAUGGGAAUAAAACGUUCCACGUGUGGGAUUUUGUAUGUACCAUAUGAAUAAGGAUCGGCUAACUCCGUGCCAGCAGCCGUGGUAAUACGGAGGAUCCGAGCGUUAUCCGGAUUUAUUGGGUUUAAAGGGAGCGUAGGUGGAUUGUUAAGUCAGUUGUGAAAGUUUGCGGCUCAACCGUAAAAUUGCAGUUGAAACUGGCAGUCUUGAGUACAGUAGAGGUAGGCGGAAUUCGUGGUGUAGCGGUGAAAUGCUUAGAUAUCACGAAGAACUCCGAUUGCGAAGGCAGUUCACUGGACUGCAACUGACACUGAGGCUCGAAAGUGUGGGUAUCAAACAGGAUUAGAUACCCGAGUAGUC